AAGAUCACCGAAGUCAAGCAUCAUUGGGCGCGGUCAGUACAUGGGUGGGUGACCACCUGGGAACACCGCGUGCCGUU
rnacentral:rRNA from 1 species